rnacentral:rRNA from 1 species
CCUGCCCAAGAGAUCGGGAUAACACCUGGAAACAGAUGCUAAUACCGGAUAACAACAGAUGAUGCCUAUCAACUGUUUAAAAGAUGGUUCUGCUAUCACUCUUGGAUGGACCUGCGGUGCAUUAGCUAGUUGGUAGGGUAACGGCCUGCCAAGGCGAUGAUGCAUAGCCGAGUUGAGAGACUGAUCGGCCACAUUGGGACUGAGACACGGCCCAAACUCCUACGGGAGGCAGCAGCG